GGUGCUUGCACCGAGCGGAUGAGUUGCGAACGGGUGAGUAACGCGUAGGUAACCUGCCUGGUAGCGGGGGAUAACUAUUGGAAACGAUAGCUAAUACCGCAUAACAGUAGAUAUUGCAUGAUAUCUGCUUGAAAGGGGCAAUUGCUUCACUACCAGAUGGACCUGCGUUGUAUUAGCUAGUUGGUGAGGUAACGGCUCACCAAGGCGACGAUACAUAGCCGACCUGAGAGGGUGAUCGGCCACACUGGGACUGAGACACGGCCCAGACUCCUACGGGAGGCAGCAGUAGGGAAUCUUCGGCAAUGGACGGAAGUCUGACCGAGCAACGCCGCGUGAGUGAAGAAGGUUUUCGGAUCGUAAAGCUCUGUUGUAAGAGAAGAACGAGUGUGAGAGUGGAAAGUUCACACUGUGACGGUAUCUUACCAGAAAGGGACGGCUAACUACGUGCCAGCAGCCGCGGUAAUACGUAGGUCCCGAGCGUUAUCCGGAUUUAUUGGGCGUAAAGCGAGCGCAGGCGGUUAGAUAAGUCUGAAGUUAAAGGCUGUGGCUUAACCAUAGUAC
rnacentral:rRNA from 1 species